rnacentral:rRNA from 1 species
GGGUUGUGAGGUUAAGCGACUAAGCGUACACGGUGGAUGCCCUGGCAGUCAGAGGCGAUGAAGGACGUGCUAAUCUGCGAAAAGCGCCGGCGAGGUGAUAUGAACCUUUGACCCGGCGAUGUCCGAAUGGGGAAACCCAGUGCAAUUCGUUGCACUAUCGUUAACUGAAUACAUAGGUUAACGAGGCGAACCGGGGGAACUGAAACAUCUAAGUACCCCGAGGAAAAGAAAUCAACCGAGAUUCCCCCAGUAGCGGCGAGCGAACGGGGAGCAGCCCAGAGUCUAAAUCAGCUUGUGUGUUAGUGGAAGCGUCUGGAAAGUCGCACGGUACAGGGUGACAGUCCCGUACACGAAAGCACACAGGCUGUGAACUCGAAGAGUAGGGCGGGACACGUGGUAUCCUGUCUGAAUAUGGGGGGACCAUCCUCCAAGGCUAAAUACUCCUGACUGACCGAUAGUGAACCAGUACCGUGAGGGAAAGGCGAAAAGAACCCCGGCGAGGGGAGUGAAACAGAACCUGAAACCGUGUACGUACAAGCAGUGGGAGCACCUUCGUGGUGUGACUGCGUACCUUUUGUAUAAUGGGUCAGCGACUUAUAUUCUGUAGCAAGGUUAACCGUAUAGGGGAGCCGAAGGGAAACCGAGUCUUAACUGGGCGUUAAGUUGCAGGGUAUAGACCCGAAACCCGGUGAUCUAGCCAUGGGCAGGUUGAAGGUUGGGUAACACUAACUGGAGGACCGAACCGACUAAUGUUGAAAAAUUAGCGGAUGACUUGUGGCUGGGGGUGAAAGGCCAAUCAAACCGGGAGAUAGCUGGUUCUCCCCGAAAGCUAUUUAGGUAGCGCCUCGUGAACUCAUCUUCGGGGGUAGAGCACUGUUUCGGCUAGGGGGCCAUCCCGGCUUACCAACCCGAUGCAAACUACGAAUACCGAAGAAUGUUAUCACGGGAGACACACGGCGGGUGCUAACGUCCGUCGUGAAGAGGGAAACAACCCAGACCGCCAGCUAAGGUCCCAAAGUCAUGGUUAAGUGGGAAACGAUGUGGGAAGGCACAGACAGCCAGGAUGUUGGCUUAGAAGCAGCCAUCAUUUAAAGAAAGCGUAAUAGCUCACUGGUCGAGUCGGCCUGCGCGGAAGAUGUAACGGGGCUAAACCAUGCACCGAAGCUGCGGCAGCGACACUAUGUGUUGUUGGGUAGGGGAGCGUUCUGUAAGCCGUUGAAGGUGUGCUGUGAGGCAUGCUGGAGGUAUCAGAAGUGCGAAUGCUGACAUAAGUAACGAUAAAGCGGGUGAAAAGCCCGCUCGCCGGAAGACCAAGGGUUCCUGUCCAACGUUAAUCGGGGCAGGGUGAGUCGACCCCUAAGGCGAGGCCGAAAGGCGUAGUCGAUGGGAAACAGGUUAAUAUUCCUGUACUUGGUGUUACUGCGAAGGGGGGACGGAGAAGGCUAUGUUAGCCGGGCGACGGUUGUCCCGGUUUAAGCAUGUAGGCGGAACGAUUAGGUAAAUCCGGUCGUUUAUUAACGCUGAGGUGUGAUGACGAGGCACUACGGUGCUGAAGUAACAAAUGCCCUGCUUCCAGGAAAAGCCUCUAAGCAUCAGGUAACAUCAAAUCGUACCCCAAACCGACACAGGUGGUCAGGUAGAGAAUACCAAGGCGCUUGAGAGAACUCGGGUGAAGGAACUAGGCAAAAUGGUGCCGUAACUUCGGGAGAAGGCACGCUGAUAUGUAGGUGAAGCCCCUGCGGGUGGAGCUGAAAUCAGUCGAAGAUACCAGCUGGCUGCAACUGUUUAUUAAAAACACAGCACUGUGCAAACACGAAAGUGGACGUAUACGGUGUGACGCCUGCCCGGUGCCGGAAGGUUAAUUGAUGGGGUUAGCGGUAACGCGAAGCUCUUGAUCGAAGCCCCGGUAAACGGCGGCCGUAACUAUAACGGUCCUAAGGUAGCGAAAUUCCUUGUCGGGUAAGUUCCGACCUGCACGAAUGGCGUAAUGAUGGCCAGGCUGUCUCCACCCGAGACUCAGUGAAAUUGAACUCGCUGUGAAGAUGCAGUGUACCCGCGGCAAGACGGAAAGACCCCGUGAACCUUUACUAUAGCUUGACACUGAACACUGGUCCUUGAUGUGUAGGAUAGGUGGGAGGCUUUGAAGUGUGGACGCCAGUCUGCAUGGAGCCGUCCUUGAAAUACCACCCUUUAAUGGCUGGUGUUCUAACGUAGACCCGUAAUCCGGGUUGCGGACAGUGUCUGGUGGGUAGUUUGACUGGGGCGGUCUCCUCCCAAAGAGUAACGGAGGAGCACGAAGGUUAGCUAAUCCUGGUCGGACAUCAGGAGGUUAGUGCAAUGGCAUAAGCUAGCUUGACUGCGAGAGUGACGGCUCGAGCAGGUGCGAAAGCAGGUCAUAGUGAUCCGGUGGUUCUGAAUGGAAGGGCCAUCGCUCAACGGAUAAAAGGUACUCCGGGGAUAACAGGCUGAUACCGCCCAAGAGUUCAUAUCGACGGCGGUGUUUGGCACCUCGAUGUCGGCUCAUCACAUCCUGGGGCUGAAGUAGGUCCCAAGGGUAUGGCUGUUCGCCAUUUAAAGUGGUACGCGAGCUGGGUUUAGAACGUCGUGAGACAGUUCGGUCCCUAUCUGCCGUGGGCGCUGGAGAAUUGAGGGGGGCUGCUCCUAGUACGAGAGGACCGGAGUGGACGCAUCACUGGUGUUCGGGUUGUCAUGCCAAUGGCACUGCCCGGUAGCUAAAUGCGGAAAAGAUAAGUGCUGAAAGCAUCUAAGCACGAAACUUGCCCCGAGAUGAGUUCUCCCUGAGACUUUAAGUCUCCUGAAGGAACGUUGAAGACGACGACGUUGAUAGGUCGGGUGUGUAAGCGCAGCGAUGCGUUGAGCUAACCGAUACUAAUGAACCGUGAGGCUUAACCUUACAACGCCGAAG